CAAGUCGAACGGCAGCACGGGUGCUUGCACCUGGUGGCGAGUGGCGAACGGGUGAGUAAUACAUCGGAACAUGUCCUGUAGUGGGGGAUAGCCCGGCGAAAGCCGGAUUAAUACCGCAUACGAUCUAUGGAUGAAAGCGGGGGACCUUCGGGCCUCGCGCUAUAGGGUUGGCCGAUGGCUGAUUAGCUAGUUGGUGGGGUAAAGGCCUACCAAGGCGACGAUCAGUAGCUGGUCUGAGAGGACGACCAGCCAC
rnacentral:rRNA from 1 species